UAGGGAAUCUUCGGCAAUGGACGAAAGUCUGACCGAGCAACGCCGCGCGAGUGAAGAAGGUUUUCGGAUCGUAAAACUCUGUUGUUAGAGAAGAACAAGGACGUUAGUAACUGAACGUCCCCUGACGGUAUCUAACCAGAAAGCCACGGCUAACUACGUGCCAGCAGCCGCGGUAAUACGUAGGUGGCAAGCGUUGUACGGAUUUAUUGGGCGUAAAGCGAGCGCAGGCGGUUUCUUAAGUCUGAUGUGAAAGCCCCCGGCUCAACCGGGGAGGGUCAUUGGAAACUGGGAGACUUGAGUGCAGAAGAGGAGAGUGGAAUUCCAUGUGUAGCGGUGAAAUGCGUAGAUAUAUGGAGGAACACCAGUGGCGAAGGCGGCUCUCUGGUCUGUACCUGACGCUGAGGCUCGAAAGCGUGGAGAGCAAACAGG
rnacentral:rRNA from 1 species